GACGAACGCUGGCGGCGUGCCUAAUACAUGCAAGUUGAGCGCUGAAGGUUGGUACUUGUACCGACUGGAUGAGCAGCGAACGGGUGAGUAACGCGUGGGGAAUCUGCCUUUGAGCGGGGGACAACAUUUGGAAACGAAUGCUAAUACCGCAUAAAAACUUUAAACACAAGUUUUAAGUUUGAAAGAUGCAAUUGCAUCACUCAAAGAUGAUCCCGCGUUGUAUUAGCUAGUUGGUGAGGUAAAGGCUCACCAAGGCGAUGAUACAUAGCCGACCUGAGAGGGUGGUCGGCCACAUUGGGACGGAGACACGGCCCAAACUCCUACGGGAGGCAGCAGUAGGGAAUCGUCGGCAAUGGACGAGAGUCUGACCGAGCAACGCCGCGUGAGUGAAGAAGGUUUUCGGAUCGUAAAACUCUGUUGGUAGAGAAGAACGGUGGUGAGAGUGGAAAGCUCAUCAAGUGACGGUAACUACACAGAAAGGGACGGCUAACUACGUG
rnacentral:rRNA from 1 species